UUUUUUGUUUUUUUUUUUUUAAAGUUUCCAAUUAAAAAAAUCUUGGAAAGUAGCUGACCUAUAUUUACUGUAACCAUAUUUUCCAAAUAAAAUUCCAGACACAUGGUCUGAUAAGUAUGUGCACACUGCCCACACUACUUAAAAAUAAAGUGCAUUGUUUUUUUCCCCUGCUUAAAAAAAAAAAAUCCAUGUUAAUUUUAGAGAUUAAAGAAAGGUCAAAGAAAAAACAAAAUAUCUGCAAUCCCAUCACCCAGAAAUAACCACUAUUAACAUUUUGAUCCAUACUUUUCUUAACUUUUUGCCUCUGACAGAGGAUAAUUUGUCAUCCAGUUGAGUAAAUACUGUAUUAUACAUAACAUAUAUGAUUAUAUAUGUAUAAUAUAUAUAAUUUUUCAUCCUGAAUUUUCUAAUUAGAGCUAUGUCACAAGGAUUUUCUCAUGUCACUGAAGAUUCUGUGUAAAUCUUAUUUUUAAUAGCUGUAUAGUAGUCUAUCUUUCCAAAUGUCAUUAAUUAUAUUUACCCACUACACAUAUCACUGAACAUUUAAAUUGCCACCAGUUUUCUUGCUAUUAUUAAAAAUACUAUUAAAAAUUGUGAUAAAUAUUCAUAUAUAUCUUUGUUCACACUUCUGAAAAUGUCCAUAGAAUAUCCAUGAAGCAGAAAUACUGCAUAACAGGAUAAAAUCUUUUAAAAUCUGUCCAUAAACAUCACCAACUUUUUUUAUGGAGACAUUGUACCAACUUACACUUAAUACUUGUUUCUGAAGACAACUAUGAGAAAUUUUACAUUAACACUGCUUCAGAAAAUUUGGAAGUUUUUCAAAUGUUUAUCGAGUACUUAAGUUCCAGACACUGUGCUAAGUGCUUUAUAUGUACUGUCAUUUACUCUUUACAAAAGUGCCAUGACCAAGGACAAGACACUAUUAUGAUUCCUAUUUUUCACACAAUUAAACUUUGGUGACUAGCCCAACUUAUAUAGCCAAUUCCUCAUAAAGCUAAAAGUGCAUGGCAAAACAGAGUCAAUGUAGAAUGUGUUGGUUUUGUUUUAUUUUUUUUAACUCCAACCAUCGUACUACUCCAGAGGCUUCUACAGCAAGGGUGCCAGCUAAGAGUGUUUGAGAGGAUCACUAACGGUUUAGAGAGGGCCUAGGGCUUAUAUCAGCAAGUACAGCCCUAGGACAGAAGCUGAUGCAUGGGCUUAGAACCCUAUGUGAUGAGGCCAAGAACACCCCUGGUCAAUGCCAUGCUAUAUGUGAUACUGGUAAGCUUGGGAGUGACCAAGAAAAAGGACACUGAGGUGAGCCGGAAUGACUUACCUGGUAAGUUUUGAGCCCAUGUAAGAUUCUGGGAGCUCCUCAUGCAAUAGAAUGGGAUUUCACAGAAGGAGAGCAAAGUACUGUGGUCUCAGAAGCUUACUAAUGAAUGCUUAGGACCUUGCAGUUCAUCAAACUAAACAUCAUCACAUAGAGAAAGAUGGUUUUCAUCUUUGAGUUGACAUAGGGCUGCCCAGCAUAUUUUGCACACUGUUCAAUGCUGAGGGCAUCAGUCAUGACCCAAGGGGUGUAUGGGGUCAAAACCCAGCCCAAGCUCUAAUGGCCAACAAGGGUACCUAUGAACUGUAUCUGCCUCCCAUUGUGUCUGUGACCUCAUGUGCUACUCCUCCCCACCUGCUCUCACAUAUCUAGCAACACUGGCUCCCUCACUGCCCCUCCGAGGACUGCAUUCCAGUCUCAGGAACUCCGCUCUGGCUGUUCUCUCUGCCUGGAAAGCUUUGCCUGAUCUCCCUCUUCAUGUCCUUUCCCAAGUAUUUCCUUCUCAAUGACCAUCCCAUGAACAAUUAUAAUUCCCAAUACUCCCCAACAGCCUCCCUCCAGGGGGGACAGUGAUUUUUGUUUGUUUAGUUUGCUGAUCUGUUACAAGUGCCUAGAACAUUCCUAGCAAAGAGCUCUCAAUAAAUAUUUGUUGAAUUGAAUGAAAUCACUAAAUGGGUGAACUGUGGAGAUGACAGUCUUGCUUCAGAUAUUUUCACAAUGAGAACACCAAAAGGCUGAGAGGGAAACUGACUUUAUCCAAGGCCACUGGUAGGUGUUUUUUCCCCAAGGUGCCCUUGCCUUGGAGCCCUCCAACUUAGCUGAAAUAAAACCCUUCCACAAUGAGGCCAACCCACGAAGACUAGAUCCAAUCAAAGCAAUUGAUAAAAGGUAUGAAUGACGACUAAGCAACGCCCUUCUAGGGUAUAGGCUUCACAUGAAUCUCCAGUUGAAGGAGAAUCUCUUUCUGGGCAUCAAGCAGACUAUAUACUCUCUCCUUUCCAGCCUUCUCAAGAGCAACUGUCUAACAACAACAAAGCCACCAAGAAGCCAGGUCCCUCGAAUUUAUCUUGCCUAAUAGAUCAAGUCUGUCCAUGACCCAUUUUUUCUCUUUUUCAAGUAGCUGGACACUGGAAGAAAUCAUUCCCAGCAGCAGGACAAAGAGAACUGCUCUAAGGGAUAAUCAAACUACAACUCAUUACAAAUGCCCAAUGUCAUAAACACUUCUCUGAAAUAUUUCCCUCUUCCCUCACAAGCAUGUACAGAGAACAAACACAGACAAUACAUAAUUUUGGAGCAGAUUUCUUUUUUCCAUGAUCUCUGCUCUCUUUUAACGAGCAAUUUGUUGUAUAUGUUAGCUUAAAGUAAAAUAAAAUCCUGGCAGUGAUCAUCAAAAUUGAGAACCCCAAAUGUAAAAGCUACCUCUUAAUAAGUGUGUAUUCUGGGAUUUCAAAUACAAGGUCUACAGACCCUUGAGAGAUCUUUAUAUGGAAUUUAGUGGUCUGUGAGUUAGUGGGCUAAAAGCUGUAUACAAACUUUUGUGGGUACAUGAAGAUACAUGCAUCUGUUGGUGAUCUCUUGUAAGAUUCUCAAAGGGAUGGUUCCCCCAAAUUACCGUUGAUUUUGACCCACUCAAAUGGGUGAUAAUCAAACUUAACUGCAGACUGUACAAUGCAAAAUUUGUGAUAAUUAAUUAUAUUUGACAUUAAUGCUUUCUCUUUUGAGGGUUGCCAUUAUCAAGACACAUGUUCUAGCUAAAUAAACACUUGGUUUGGGAACAUAAGCAGAGUGUAAUAAAUUAAUUUCCUAAUUAUUAUUCCUUGCUGAUGAUAAAAUUUUCCAUCUGGUCUUUAACCAUAUCUCCCUCUUUCUCUCUCACAGUUAACCUUGUGUAAAACACACUUUACAAAGUAAAUAUUUUGAACCACAUUUUUCAGAUAAAGAAGCUGAGACUCAUUAAAAAAAAAAAAAAGAAAGAAGAAGAAGAAGAAGAAGAAGAAGAAGAAGCUGAGACUCAGAGAGUUAAGUAGCUUUCAGGCCUCUUGACUGGUAAAUAGAGGAGCCAAGAUUUUAACAUAAGCCUACUGGAUCCUGAAGCUUGUGGGUUUUCCAACAGGGCAAACCACUAUCUUGAAAUUUAUAUUAUGUUUCCUGACUUCAGGAUUUUCAGUUCAAAUUUUUCCUUUAAUGGUGGGUGGUUAAACCAGAAUAUUUUAUACCAGCAAUUAUAUUUACCAACUGUUUUCAUGAAAGAUCUUUAAAUAUUAUUGGUAGUUCUGACAUGGUGAAAGUCAUCAUAACGUGUUUUCUCUAACUUUGGCUCCGAAUAUGGAGUCAGUGGCAGUCUAAAAUGUUGCUGUAACUCAGUUCAGAACUCCCCAAGAAUCCUCCCCUUGCGGCCAAAGAAAGCAGCCUAAUGUACACAUGAGAACUUCCCUGAGGCCAGUGUGUAAUUACCUGUUACCUCUUUCACAAGAUGGGAGCCAUGCCACCAACCCCUCCCCAGGAUGUGUGGGCACAACAAGAAUUAAGGCCUAACUCUCCUCAGUGGCAAAUGGCAUUUAAAGCAAAUAUACGAAUGCACAUGUGUGCCAUAAUAGGAAGGCUCCCUAGAAGAACAUUAUUUGUGAAGGAAAGGAGACAUUAUUUAUAGCUUUAAAACGCAGACUGUUCAAAACUGGAAAAUAAAAUACUUCUUUCAACACUACUGAUGUGUUUUUUGGUAUCUAUCUUUAGUGUACAUCUAUGGGUCUUUGUGAGGCCCUAUGGUACUCCCUCAUGAUUCAUGAACUACAAGUCACCAUCACAAUUUCCAAGUAGUUGGGAAGCAUUUAAUCCCCAGACAUAGCGAUUUUCUCAUUUAGCAAGAGAAUGGAAGGAAGUGGGAAAGUUUGGCUGAGGGCAGAAGUCUAAGAAUGUCCCAGCAUACACAGGCUUCAGAGAAGUCUGCUUGAAGGAGAUGUUGGAAAGCAUGGCUUGCUCUACCUCAGCCAAUCACAGUUUCCAACAUAGCUUCCAAAAAUCUAUCUGGUGUGUUUUCUGGCAGAUGUCCUUCUAAGUUAUUGGAUUCUAGCACACUCAGGUCAAAUAUCAGUUGUGUGUCCUUAUAACUGAGUCACCACCUCACAGACUCCCAAAAUCUCAAGUCUCCUCUUACUGUGUCAUUGUGUGGGGACAGCCUUCUGUGAGUUCAGGGGAAGGCUACCUUCCCCUAGCAUGCCCCAUCCCCAUAGCAAACUUGCUUCUUCACACACGUGUAGGACUACAGACAUUUGCUUGCUAGUGACAGCUCUUACCCAUGUUGAUUUAUUUUGGAGAAAUAUCAUUUCUAAGUCAUCAAAAAAAGAAAGAAAGAAAGAAAGAAAGAAAGAAAGAAAGA
rnacentral:lncRNA from 1 species